UACGAAGGGGGCUAGCGUUGCUCGGAAUCACUGGGCGUAAAGCGCACGUAGGCGGAUCUUUAAGUCAGGGGUGAAAUCCUGGAGCUCAACUCCAGAACUGCCUUUGAUACUGGGUAUCUCGAGUCCGAGAGAGGUGAGUGGAAUUCCGAGUGUAGAGGUGAAAUUCGUAGAUAUUGGAGGAACACCAGUGGCGAAGGCGGCUCACUGGCUCGGUACUGACGCUGAGGUGCGAAAGCGUGGG
rnacentral:rRNA from 1 species